GCUGAUGUGGCACAGUCGGUAGCGCACCUCAUUGGUAGUGAGGAGGUCACGAGUUCGAUUCUCGUCAUCAGCU
rnacentral:tRNA from 1 species